GCCGGGAUGGCGGAACUGGUAGACGCAUGGGACUUAAAAUCCCUGGGGCCCUGUGCCCGUGCGGGUUCGAGUCCCGCUCUCGGCACCA
rnacentral:tRNA from 1 species